rnacentral:lncRNA from 1 species
UAAGAAUUGACGUUUGCAAAAUUAGGGUUCAGUUCAACUUGGCAAAUUGGUAAUAUGGGUUUCUUGGUGGCAAUUGAUCUAUAGUGGAGGAGAAUAUAAUAACAUCAUAAGAAUAAAGGAUGAUAACAGUACAAGGAGAAUAAAGGUUUCGAUUUUUAAGGUAAGAAUUUAUUCAUCUCCAUUCUUCUAUUUAGUAAAUAUGAAUUUUUUUACUCUCUUUGUUGCUUUGACUUAUCUCUUUCUUUUCUCUUUGUUGUUAUAUGCCAAAAACAACCUUCAUGAUAUGCUAAAAAACGAUUAACACAUAGAAUUGUGCACCAUCUUACAUGAUAAACUAGUUGACAGGAACGGGAGGCAAAUCCAUGUAGAUUUAUUACAGUAAGAUACAAAUUGUUCCAAAAUCAGAUACGAAUCUAACUAUUUUCUGUAUUAUUUGGAAGAAAAAAUGGCUUCCAAAUCUUUGUACAAUGAACUUGAUUUUGACUUGAACUCAGAAGAUGAGCUCCCACUCCUUUUGUUUCCCCAUAACCCACUCCAUGCAGUAGUGCCACUAGUCGAAGGAUCAUUUACACUUCUUUCCCUACCAAAGCUAGACUUUGCAAAUUCCCUUAUCUGUUUCAACCAUGCUCCAUCAGGUGUACCCGAGCUUCUACUACUUGAGAAUCUUGACCUGUCACCACCUGAAGCAGUGUCUCUAGAUUCUUCAUUAUUCCCAGUACCAUUUUGUGGUAACCUGUUUACCAAGUCUUUGAUGCACUUUUGAGGGAUG